rnacentral:rRNA from 1 species
CAGUAGCCGCGGGAAAACGAAGGGGGCUAGCGUUGCUCGGAAUGACUGGGCGUAAAGGGCGCGUAGGCGGCGGCCAAAGUCAGGCGUGAAAUUCCUGGGCUCAACCUGGGGGCUGCGCUUGAUACUUGGUUGCUUGAGUGGGGAAGAGGGUCGUGGAAUUCCCAGUGUAGAGGUGAAAUUCGUAGAUAUUGGGAAGAACACCGGUGGCGAAGGCGGCGACCUGGUCCUUGACUGAUGCUGAGGCGCGAAAGCGUGGGGAGCAAACAGGAUUAGAUACCCCGGUAGUCCCUGUCUCUUAUAU